rnacentral:rRNA from 1 species
GACGAACGCUGGCGGCGUGCUUAACACAUGCAAGUCGAACGGAAGGGCCCUUCGGGGUACUCGAGUGGCGAACGGGUGAGUAACACGUGGGUGAUCUGCCCUGCACUUUGGGAUAAGCCUGGGAAACUGGGUCUAAUACCGAAUAGGACCACGCGCUUCAUGGUGUGUGGUGGAAAGCUUUUGCGGUGUGGGAUGGGCCCGCGGCCUAUCAGCUUGUUGGUGGGGUAAUGGCCUACCAAGGCGACGACGGGUAGCCGGCCUGAGAGGGUGACCGGCCACACUGGGACUGAGAUACGGCCCAGACUCCUACGGGAGGCAGCAGUGGGGAAUAUUGCACAAUGGGCGCAAGCCUGAUGCAGCGACGCCGCGUGAGGGAUGACGGCCUUCGGGUUGUAAACCUCUUUCACCAGGGACGAAGCGUAAGUGACGGUACCUGGAGAAGAAGCACCGGCCAACUACGUG